AUGUAAUACAGUUACGACGGUUCCCCGACCGAGAGUGAAGGGGAUUAAUAGGGAACACGGUGAGGACGACCCAAAAGGGACCGAGACCGUGGCUGCCCCCGCAACUGUAAGCGGAUUGCCGUUCAUCCUUGUGAUGCCUCAAAGCGUCAUGUCACUGAGACUGUUCCAAACAGCUCGGGAAGGCAGAUGAACAGCGAAUAUCUGUGAGCCAGGAGACCUGCCGUCUAACGUAGUCCAUU
rnacentral:ncRNA from 2 species